GACGAACGCUGGCGGCGUGCUUAACACAUGCAAGUCGAGCGGUAAGGCCCUUUCGGGGGUACACGAGCGGCGAACGGGUGAGUAACACGUGGGUGACCUGCCCUCAGCUCUGGGAUAAGCCUGGGAAACCGGGUCUAAUACUGGAUAUGACUCCAUGACGCAUGUUGUGGGGUGGAAAGCCUUGUGCGGCUGAGGAUGGGCCCGCGGCCUAUCAGCUUGUUGGUGGGGUGAGGCCUACCAAGGCGACGACGGGUAGCCGGCCUGAGAGGGCGACCGGCCACACUGGGACUGAGACACGGCCCAGACUCCUACGGGAGGCAGCAGUGGGGAAUAUUGGACAAUGGGCGAAAGCCUGACGCAGCGACGCCGCGUGAGGGAUGACGGCCUGGUGUAACUACUU
rnacentral:rRNA from 1 species